AUUGAACGCUGGCGGAAUGCUUUACACAUGCAAGUCGAACGGCAGCACGGGGGCAACCCUGGUGGCGAGUGGCGAACGGGUGAGUAAUACAUCGGAACGUGCCCAGUCGUGGGGGAUAACGUAGCGAAAGUUACGCUAAUACCGCAUACGAUCUACGGAUGAAAGCGGGGGACCGUAAGGCCUCGCGCGAUUGGAGCGGCCGAUGUCAGAUUAGGUAGUUGGUGAGGUAAAGGCUCACCAAGCCGACGAUCUGUAGCUGGUCUGAGAGGACGACCAGCCAGACGGGGACUGAGACACGGCCCAGACUCCUACGGGAGGCAGCAGUGGGGAAUUUUGGACAAUGGGCGCAAGCCUGAUCCAGCCAUUCCACGUGCAGGACGAAGGCCUUCGGGUUGUAAACUGCUUUUGUACGGAACGAAAAGGCUCUGGUUAUACUAGGAGCUCAUGACGGUACUGUAAGAAUAAGCACCGGCUAACUACGUGCCAGCAGCCGCGGUAA
rnacentral:rRNA from 1 species